CCAGCCGCUGGAAAGCCAAGCUGUUGUUUUAAUAGAGCAAUAAAAAUGAAUUAUAGUUUAAACGCCUUCGAGCUUAGAGCUUCUGGAUGGAAUCCCCAGUCCAGACUAAUACGUAAGAGGUUUUUUUUUAUUUGUGUGUGAGCUCCUGCAAUUGAUCUUCCCCCUCGAUGACAUCCUCGUUCAUAGAACGUAUUUGAUUUAUGAGAUUAGGAAGAAUUGCAUCCAGC
rfam:Xenopus tropicalis clone CH216-127D2, complete sequence.